rnacentral:tRNA from 1 species
GCCACCGUAGCUUAGUCGGUAAAGCAGACGAUUCGUAAUCGUCAGAGCAUCGGUUCGAAUCCGAUCGGUGGCU